CGCCGACGUUGUUCCGCUCCUGAGGCAGCGGCGGAGGCUGCUGCUGGGGCGGCUGCUGCUGGGGCGGCUGCGGCGGCGGCUGCUGCGGGGGCUGCUGCUGCUGUUGCUGCACCGGGCGCGGCCGCGACACUCGCCUGGGUCUCCGGUUGGCGGCUCGGACGGAGUUCAUUUGCCGGGCUGAGGUGGCGGCGUUGGCGGAGGGACACACACACGCACACGCACAGCGAGCUUCGGGGCAGGAGAAAGGGGUGGGGAGAGUGGGAGAGGGGGGAGGAAGGAGAGGGGGCGAGGGGAAGGGGAGACGCUGAGGGCGGAGGGGGCGAGCGGGACCCCGAGUCCGGAGAAAGGCCCGGGUAGACAGACGGAGACCGAGCGAGGCCGGCCGGGAGGGCCUGACGCACGGGGAAGGCCGAAGCCGCCGGGCGGGGCGGCCGCGAGGGACGAAGGCAGAAAGACGGGCAGACCGAGAGAAAGAAAGAAAGGGCGUCCGCCGCUUGGGGAUCCCGAGGCGAAGCGCGGCGGCGGCGGCGGCGGCGGCUGAAGAGACAGAUCCCGGUCCCGCCGACUCGCGAGCGGCGUCUCCGGCAGCGGGGGGAGUGGGCGGGCGGGUGAGGAAGGGAGAAAAAGAGAGGGAGAGAAGGGAGGGAGGGAGCAGGGGGCGCCCGGCUCUUUUUUUUCCCUCUUCCUCCCCCCCACACCCCCUGAAAGAGAUUUCUGUGAGGAAUUUUUCUCUCUUUCUUCGGUCUCUUCUCUCUCCUCCCCCCCUUCUCUCCUCGGCGAAGGGGAAAUGAGUGUGAAGGGAGGAGAUAGGGGGAAAAAGAGGCGUCGUCCUUCCUCCUCCUUAAAGGAACCUUUCCUCCUCCUCCUCGUCAGCCCUGUCGCCGCUGCUUCUGCUGCUGCUCCGUGGCAGGAGGAGCCAUUGACACCGCCGGAGCCUCCACUCGCCCAGUCGGUCCCUCCCCGCCGCGGGGCUGGCCGGGGGCGCGGGGGAGGGCCGCGGGGCGGCGGGGGGAGGGGUGGGUGGGCGGGGAAAGGAGGGGCGGGGAUUCCGUCCAGGCGGCCAAUCUAAGGCGCCCGUACAACCUUCCGGCCAAUGGGGCCUCCGCUCUUAUCGCGAAGUCCCUUCAACGCCCUGUUUCCUCUCUCGGGUUUCCUCCCUCCCCCGCCUAGGAGGGGGAAAGAGGAAAGGGGGAGUGUGGCGGGGCGGGUGAUAAUGGGGAGGUAUCAGGGCAAAUAAUAGAGCAGGGGGUGGGCGAAGAGAGCGCCAGUGCGUAGCGACGAUUCUGGGAGAGGAGGUGCUCGGAGGAAAGGGCGGGGGUUGCUGAUGUAAUGGGGAGAAGUGAUUAAUCCUUCGGUUCGCCGUUUCAGCUUCCCCCCUACCCCAACCUUCACCCGAUUUUUUUGAGCUGAAAAAAAAGUGGAACGAGGGAGCCAAUCUUUGGUCCCACAAACUGCAAGGAAAAGAAAAACCCUCAACAGGAAUUACCUUUAUACCUGAUGCCCCCAACAUAAUCUCUCUCCAAGGGAAACGUGUUUUUAUUGCCUUGCGGCUGAAAAUGUAUUCUCGAUUCUCCCCCUUCUCUCUUUUGUUGUGCAUUUUUUGGAUGUGGUAAAACUGGCAGUUUAUCUGAUUAUCUGGUUUUCAGAACUUUGGGCGAUGUCUCUGAGUGUCAUCAGUUGCUCUCUAGGUUUGACAUAGAUAAUUAAGCAACUACAAAGCGUGAUAAAGCUUUUGAGAGGGAGGAAAAUGUAUUUUGGAAGGAGGGAGAGACGCAAAGAGGCGAGCCUGUGUGUUGAGUCCCAGACUUGGUGUGUGACUACAGGCAAAGUACUUCACCUUUCUAGAUGUCAGCCCCGCCCCCCUCACCUCCCAAGUUUAAAUAAGAACUUAUUUUAGACUACAUGAUCCUGUUUUCAAUUUUUAAGAGUUCUGUGAUUUUGAGAUGAUCUCUCUUUAGUCCAGAAAAAUAGAGAAACGUAGGUCUAUGUUUGUUUCUCAAAAAAAUAUUUGAGGAGGACAGCUGUUACAAAACAGCUGGAGAACUCCAAAUUUUUAUGGUGGUUAGCUAGGUGCAAAUGGGUACAAUUUUAGGUUUGUUCAAAUAAACAUAGGGGAAAAGUAAAAGUACAGGAAAAUUACGUUAUACAUAUAAGUGUGUCCAUCAUUUCUGAUUUUUCUAAAAAUUUACUUUUUUAUUUGACAAGUACUUUUUGGCUCCUUCCGUGUAUGCAUUAAUAUGUAUAUAAGGUGUUAUGGGAAAUACUAAUAAAAGGAAAAUAUUGGGCAUAAAGAGUUUGUAUUUUGGUGUGGCAGAGUGGAAGUUUUACUUACAUUAAUUCAGAUGUAAAGAAAAUGUAGCUUGUUUAUUUUCUGUAAUUUUAACUUCAAGUCC
rnacentral:lncRNA from 10 species